rnacentral:lncRNA from 1 species
GAUCAUGGAGGCGAAUACAUAUGAUCCUUAUGAAAUGAUAUGGAGGCGAAUACCUAUAUCAUAUGAUGAUGGACAUGGAGGUGAAUACCUAUGAUCCUUAUAAAAUGAUGUGGAGGCAAAUACCUAUAUCAUAUAAUGGUGGGGCAUGGAGGUGAAUACCUAUGAUUCCCUAAAAUGGUCUUGGAGGCGAAUACCUAUGACUAUACAACUAAGGCAAGAGGUGAAUACCCAUUAGCCUUCAUAAUAGGCAUAGAGAGUUGAAC